rnacentral:rRNA from 1 species
GGCGACUCCGGUGACGGAUGGGCAUGCGGCGCAUUAGGUAGUUGGUAGGGUAACGGCCUACCAAGCCGACGAUGCGUAGGGGUUCUGAGAGGAAGGUCCCCCACAUUGGAACUGAGACACGGUCCAAACUCCUACGGGAGGCAGCAGUGAGGAAUAUUGGUCAAUGGCCGGAAGGCUGAACCAGCCAAGUCGCGUGAGGGAAUAAGGCCCUAUGGGUCGUAAACCUCUUUUGUCAGGGAGCAAAG